rnacentral:misc_RNA from 1 species
CCGAAUUGUCAAACGGGUUGUUGCUGGUCCUCAAACGGGGACAUGUGCACGCUCUGUUUACACAUCCACUCACACCUGUGCACCCUCCGUAGUUCUAUGGUCUGGGGGACCCUGUCUUCCUGCCGUGGUUCUAUGUCUUUACACACACACUGUAAUAAAGUCUCAUGGAAUGUAUGCCGCGUCUAACGCAAUACAAUA